CCAGACUCCUACGGGAGGCAGCAGUGGGGGAUAUUGCACAAUGGGGGGAACCCUGAUGCAGCGACGCCGCGUGAGGGAAGACGGUUUUCGGAUUGUAAACCUCUGUCUUUAGGGACGAAACAAAUGACGGUACCUAAAGAGGAAGCCACGGCUAACUACGUGCCAGCAGCCGCGGCAAUACGUAUGGUGCAAGCGUUAUCCGGAUUUACUGGGGGUAAAGGGAGCGCAGGCGGCGCGCCAAGUCUGAUGUGAAACCCCGGGGCUCAACCCCGGGCAUGCAUUGGAAACUGGCGGGCUGGAGUGCCGGAGAGGUAAGCGGAAUUCCUAGUGUAGCGGUGAAAUGCGUAGAUAUUAGGAGGAACGCCAGUGGCGAAGGCGGCUUACUGGACGGCAACUGACGCUGAGGCUCGAAAGCGUGGGGAGCAAACAGGAUUAGAUACCCCCGUA
rnacentral:rRNA from 1 species